UUCAGAUAAAGAGGACAUUCUGUCAUCUUCCUUAUGUUUUAUUUGGCUGAAACCAACAUUAAUUCGUUUUUAACAUGAGAUUUGUCUUUUUCUGCAGGCACUGAGUGGUGAACCUUUUCUUGCAGGGGUUAUGAGAGAGCUUGGCUGAAGGCAGAGCAUGACUCACCUGAGGACAGACUAAUUAAGGAUUUGGCUAAAGCAGCUCAUGUAGAGAUCCUGAAGGAGGGAGCAAAGCAGAGAAACAACAUUGAUCACUCCAUCAGCUUAUCAGUCUUUUCAGUCAAAGUGCCUUGACUGAGAGGAGAACACAUUCAGCAUUCAAGCUGAAAUGUAACUCUGCAUUGCAGAGUUGCCAAAGUGAGGAAGACCAGGAUAAAGAUGGCCUGAAAUCAUUUGAGGUGAACAAUGGAAAUGAAGGGAAUCUGAGUUAUUUUCUGUUUAACUGUAGGAGAAAAGGCUGAGGAUGCUGACACAGUUCUGUACAGUGGGUUCAUUAAUUAUGUAAUCAACGAUUGGCUUCAGGAAUAAUAGACUGAGACACAGUUGGCAUGUUUUAUUUCUUAGUGAAUUGAUUGAGUAACUAAUU
ensembl:lncRNA